AAUCUUGCGCAAUGGAGGGAACUCUGACGGAGCAACGCCGCGUGAGCGAUGAAGGUCUUCGGAACGUAAAGCUCUGUCGACAGGGAAGAACACGUGUGAGAGUAACUGCUCACACCUUUACGGUACCUUACCAGAAAGCCACGGCUAACUACGUGCCAGCAGCCGCGGUAAUACGUAGGUGGCAAGCGUUGUCCGGAAUUAUUGGGCUUAAAGGGCUCGCAGGCGGUCCCAUAAGACUGAUGUGGAAUCUUGCGGCUUAACCGCAAGCGGUCAUUGGAAACUGGGGGACUUGAGUACAGAAGAGGAGAGUGGAAUUCCACGUGUAGCGGUGAAAUGCGUAGAGAUGUGAAGGAACACCAGUGGCAAAGGCGGCUCUCUGGUCUGUAACUGACGCUGAGGAGCGAAAGCGUGGGGAGCAAACA
rnacentral:rRNA from 1 species